AAUGGACGAAAGUCUGACGGAGCAACGCCGCGUGAGUGAUGAAGGCUUUCGGGUCGUAAAACUCUGUUGUUAGGGAAGAACAAGUACGAGAGUAACUGCUCGUACCUUGACGGUACCUAACCAGAAAGCCACGGCUAACUACGUGCCAGCAGCCGCGGUAAUACGUAGGUGGCAAGCGUUAUCCGGAAUUAUUGGGCGUAAAGCGCGCGCAGGCGGUUUCUUAAGUCUGAUGUGAAAGCCCACGGCUCAACCGUGGAGGGUCAUUGGAAACUGGGGAACUUGAGUGCAGAAGAGAAAAGCGGAAUUCCACGUGUAGCGGUGAAAUGCGUAGAGAUGUGGAGGAACACCAGUGGCGAAGGCGGCUUUUUGGUCUGUAACUGACGCUGAGGCGCGAAAGCGUGGGGAGCAAACAGGAUUAGAUACCCUGGUAGUCCACGCCGUAAACGAUGAGUGCUAAGUGUUAGAGGGUUUCCGCCCUUUAGUGCUGCAGCUAACGCAUUAAGCACUCCGCCUGGGGAGUAC
rnacentral:rRNA from 1 species